AGCAAAUCAGUCCUCCAUCCACCACCUCUACAUUCACAAUCUUCCCACUUCAAACAAAAAAGGAACGAAUGAUUGUGAAAACAUGGUAGAUAAAGCUGACUCAAGAGAUGUUGUCCAAGACUAAGUAACAAAAUGAGAGAUGUUUUCCCACAAACACUAUACAUGAUCAAAUAAGUAAACGGUAAUGGUUGUUUCUUUCUACUUUUUCACAACACCAAUCUUAAUCCAACUUCAAAACAACUUAUAUCUAGUACCAAGCCAAAUUUAAACUCUAUGAUAGAGGUUACUUGAGGAACUUACUAUGGGAAGAUAGACUUAACCUUG